AAGACGUUUGACCAGUGCACACAAACUCGCUGAAGACCUCCGGAACAUUCACGAGACGCCGUCGGAAGCAGAGACCAAAUACUAUACCAUCGUCAGCCGCUAGCAGCACCUAGCGUGUAGCGAAGUAAACAGAACCAUGGCGACGCAACAACCCUCAGAUCCCAACGCCGACCCUUUCACCUCCAUCUUCUCUCAAACUCACUCCCGUAUCCCGGACGACACCGUUUUUUU
rnacentral:misc_RNA from 1 species